rnacentral:lncRNA from 1 species
ACUCCGUUGAAUUAAUAUAAAAGUGAUAAUUAUUUUGAGAAAUUAUAUAAUUAUUGAAUUUAAUUAUAUAAAUAAUUUUUGGCUUGGUUCAAGGGUGGAACCUAUAUUUUGGAGUGUUGUGGCGUGAUUAUGCAUAAUAAUUAUUUUGAUGUGUAUAUGAUGUUUGAGUUAUGUUGAUGAGUUGUCAUGUUCAUGCAACAUACUAAUAUGGAAAUUAGGUAGGACUUCGGUCCAGUGACGUAGGACAUCAGCCCAGUGAUGUGGGACUUUUGUCUCGAAGUGACGUAAGACUUCGGUCUAGUGGUGUUAGGAAUGUUGUCCAGUGAUGUGGGAUAAUAUCAAUAACACACCUCUGAUACCAAAAACUUGAUACCACCUAUAUUUUGAUGAGGCAUUGGUGCAUUAGCAUUGCAUUAUAAUUUUUAUUACUGAUAUUGUGGUGUGAAAAUAAUUUUAAUUUUAAUUUUUAACUAUCCUGUUGUUUAUUUUCACUGUUAACAUUUGUAAGGAUUAUUCUCACCCCUUUCUGAUUUAUUUUGUAUGUUUCGAUACUUGUUGUACAGAUAAUCAGCAGUACUGAUUGCUUGUGAGUGGGAGAUGGCUAUGCAUCUUACCUUUUCAUAUUAUAUUUAUUUUCUGUUGUAUUAGAGGAAUAUUGCUCUGAUUACGUAACAUCAUGGGACGGGAAUUUGAUUUCUGAUGUUUAUUGAACUUUAUUUUCAUUUUCCUUAUCUUUAGUUAAUAUGGUGAUGUAAUAAUUUUAAUUUCCACAGUGAGUAUGACUUUUUUUUAUAUAUGAGCAAUAUCUAAUGUUUUUAAGUAACAUCCUAUAAUGUAUUUUAUCCUUUAUAA